AAUCUUCCGCAAUGGACGACAGUCUGACGGAGCGAUGCCGCGUGAGUGAUGAAGGUCUUCGGAUCGUAAAACUCUGUUGGUAGGGAAGAACAAGUAUCGGAGUAAUAUGCAGGUACCUUUACGGUACCUAACCAGACAGCCCCGGCUAAUUACGUGCCAGCAGCCGCCGUGAUACGUAGGGUGCAAGCGUUGACCGGAAUUAUUGGGCGUAAAGGGCACGCAGGCGGUUAUUUAAGUCUGAUGUGAAAUCUUGUGGCGUAACCACAAGCGGUCAUUGGAAACUUGAUAACUUGAGUACAGAAGAGGAGAGUGGAAUUCCAAGUGUAGCGGUGAAAUGCGUAGAGAUGUGGAGGAACACCAGUGGCGAAGGCGGCUCUCUGGGCUGUAACUGACGCUGAGGUGCGAAAGCGUGGGUAGCGAACA
rnacentral:rRNA from 1 species